GCAACCCCUCCCCUCGUUCCAUUCCAAUCCUCGCUCGAUUCCUUCUUCCCCUCCAGCGCCUCCUCCUCUGUUCUUCUAUCCCUAACCCUAACCCUAAGGCGACGGCGCCGUUGCCCGCGGCUCUCCCUUCACCGACGGCACCAUCUAGUCCGAGUCCGAGCUGGAGGAGCACGUGUACGUAGGGGAGGCAGCAAGGCUAGCACGCCGUCGGUUCGUCCUUCGCUGGUUCCUCACCGAGCGCCACGAAGAGGAAAAGAUAAUGGUGAAGUAGAAGGGAAAGGGUGAUGGUAAGGAUAAUGCGAAGGCGAAGACAAAGAGAAGAGCGUGAAUUACUUAAUUAGGCAAGAUUCGGAGCUGCCUCCACCGGUUCCGAGGAAGAAGAAGAAGCCUAAGGUGCAGAUUAGGAAGGCAAAAGACUUUCCCAAUGCCCCAACUGGAGAGUUGAUUUGUAGGUUAAAAAACACCCUCCACCUCCUCCGCGUCUCCCCGACCGCACCGGUGCCGGUGUGCGUGCCGCGAAAGCCGCUGCCUCCUUCUCCGCAACCUGCUCCAAGCUGCCUCAUGCAUCUACUAUUGUGGUAGAUGAUGAGGAGAAGGAGGACGACGAGGACGAGGACGUGGACAUGGAUGAGGACAAGGACAAGGACGAUGAGGAAUAUGAGGAGCAAAAUCUGUUUAUAGUCCCGCCACAAGCGAGUGCUGAUAUGUUUAGGCAUUUGUCUAACUUCCACACUUCUAGUCGAGGGAUGAGAAUGAAGAGGAUGAUGUUGAGAACAUCAAGUUACCCAUUGUGGUGGAGGAGAUCAACGAUUGGUAACUAUUCUUCCUACAUGUUUCACUUGUCAUGCAAUACCAAAUAUUUUUUAUGUGAAUGUUGCUUAUCUUACUUGUAGACAUUCAUCAUGUGGAUUUUAUCUUGCUAUUUUGGAGAUGAAUGUCAAAGUGAUCUUUCUCAUGUGAAGGCUACUUUUGCAUUUCUGUUAUGUUGGAACCUUUCAAAUUUACCCAUUUGUGUUAUGUUCAACUUGUCAAUUGACAUGGACUUGGAAUUGCCAUUGCAAGUUUGUAAUCGUGUCGUUCAAUGAUGAUAAGACCUUGUGUUUGUGGA